rnacentral:rRNA from 1 species
CGUCUAGGUGGCUUAUUAAGUUAGAUGUGAAAGCCCUCGGCUCAACUGAGGAACUGCAUCUAAUACUGAUAUGCUUGAGUCCAGGAGAAGGGAGCAGAAUUCUCAGUGUAGCGGUGAAAUGCGUAGAUAUUGAGAAGAAUACCAGUGGCGAAGGCGGCUCCCUAGCCUGAGACUGACACUAAAGCGCGAAAGCCAGGGGAGCGAACG